AGGGGAUCGUAAGACCUAGCGUUGAUGGAGCGGCCGAUAUCUGAUUAGCUAGUUGGUGGGGUAAGAGCCUACCAAGGCGACGAUCAGUAGCUGGUCUGAGAGGACGACCAGCCACACUGGAACUGAGACACGGCCCAGACUCCUACGGGAGGCAGCAGUGGGGAAUUCUGGACAAUGGGGGCAACCCUGAUCCAGCAAUGCCGCGUGAGUGAAGAAGGCCCUCGGGUUGUAAAGCUCUUUCGCAAGGGAAGAAACGAUACAGACGAAUAAUCUGUGUUAAUGACGGUACCUUGAUAAGAAGCACCGGCUAACUACGUGCCAGCAGCCGCGGUAAUACGU
rnacentral:rRNA from 1 species